rnacentral:rRNA from 1 species
AUUGAACGCUGGCGGCAGGCCUAACACAUGCAAGUCGAACGAGUGGCGGACGGGUGAGUAAUGUCUGGGAAACUGCCUGAUGGAGGGGGAUAACUACUGGAAACGGUAGCUAAUCCCGCCUACCAUCAGAUGUGCCCCUAUGGGAUUAGCUAGUUGGUGGGGUAACGGCUCACCAAGGCAACGAUCCCUAGCUGGUCUGAGAGGAUGACCAGCCACACUGGAACUGAGACACGGUCCAGACUCCUACGGUAGGCAGCGGUGGGGAAUAGUGGACAAGGGGGGAAAGCCUGAUGCAGCCAUGCCGCGUGUAUGAAGAAGGCCUUAGGGUUGUAAAGUACUUUCAGCGGGGAGGCGUUACCCGCAGAAGAAGCACCGGCUAACUACGUGCCAGCCGCCGCGGUAAUUC